rnacentral:rRNA from 1 species
UAGGGAAUCUUCCGCAAUGGGCGAAAGCCUGACGGAGCAACGCCGCGUGAGUGACGAAGGUCUUCGGAUCGUAAAACUCUGUUAUUAGGGAAGAACAUAUGUGUAAGUAACUGUGCACAUCUUGACGGUACCUAAUCAGAAAGCCACGGCUAACUACGUGCCAGCAGCCGCGGUAAUACGUAGGUGGCAAGCGUUAUCCGGAAUUAUUGGGCGUAAAGCGCGCGUAGGCGGUUUUUUAAGUCUGAUGUGAAAGCCCACGGCUCAACCGUGGAGGGUCAUUGGAAACUGGAAAACUUGAGUGCAGAAGAGGAAAGUGGAAUUCCAUGUGUAGCGGUGAAAUGCGCAGAGAUAUGGAGGAACACCAGUGGCGAAGGCGACUUUCUGGUCUGUAACUGACGCUGAUGUGCGAAAGCGUGGGGAUCAAACAGGAUUAGAUACCCUGGUAGUCCACGCCGUAAACGAUGAGUGCUAAGUGUUAGGGGGUUUCCGCCCCUUAGUGCUGCAGCUAACGCAUUAAGCACUCCGCCUGGGGAGUACGACCGCAAGGUUG